rnacentral:rRNA from 1 species
UACGUAGGGUGCAAGCGUUGUCCGGAAUUACUGGGCGUAAAGGGCUCGUAGGCGGCCAACUAAGUCGGACGUGAAAUCCCUCAGCUUAACUGGGGAACUGCGUCCGAUACUGGAUGGCUUGGAUUUGGGAGAGGGAUGCGGAAUUCCAGGUGUAGCGGUGAAAUGCGUAGAUAUCUGGAGGAACACCGGUGGCGAAGGCGGCAUCCUGGACCAACAUUGACGCUGAGGAGCGAAAGCUAGGGGAGCAAACGGG